GACGAACGCUGGCGGCGUGCUUAACACAUGCAAGUCGAACGGAAAGGCCCUGCUUUUGUGGGUUGCUCGAGUGGCGAACGGGUGAGUAACACGUGAGUAACCUGCCCUUGACUUUGGGAUAACUUCAGGAAACUGGGGCUAAUACCGGAUAGGAGCUCCUGCUGCAUGGUGGGGGUUGGAAAGUUUCGGCGGUUGGGGAUGGACUCGCGGCUUAUCAGCUUGUUGGUGGGGUAGUGGCUUACCAAGGCUUUGACGGGUAGCCGGCCUGAGAGGGUGACCGGCCACAAGGGGACUGAGAGACGGCCCAGACGCCUACGGGAGGCAGCAGUGGGGAAUAUGGCACAAUGAGCGGAAGCCUGAUGCAGCAACGCCGCGGGCGGGAUGACGGCCUUCGGGGUGUAAACCGUUUUCGCCUGUGACGAAGCGUGAGUGACGGUAAUGGGUAAAGAAGCACCGGCUAACUACGUG
rnacentral:rRNA from 1 species